UGGGCCAUUCUAUUGUUUCUCAUAGGCAGUAUGAUAAUGAGUCAGGGUGUCUAGUAGAUUUAAAUGGAGAACAUUUGUUUGUGCAUAUUACAGUUAAAAAUGCAUUUCUUGGAUAAAUCUCUAAAGACGGGUUUCUUUUCUGCUAAAUGUUGGUAUGGAUAUGGUAAAAAAAAAAAAUGAAA